rnacentral:rRNA from 1 species
GACGAACGCUGGCGGCGUGCUUAACACAUGCAAGUCGAACGGAAAGGCCCUGCUUUUGUGGGGUGCUCGAGUGGCGAACGGGUGAGUAACACGUGAGUAACCUGCCCUUGACUUUGGGAUAACUUCAGGAAACUGGGGCUAAUACCGGAUAGGAGCUCCUGCUGCAUGGUGGGGGUUGGAAAGUUUCGGCGGUUGGGGAUGGACUCGCGGCUUAUCAGCUUGUUGGUGGGGUAGUGGCUUACCAAGGCUUUGCCGGGUAGCCGGCCUGAGAGGGUGACCGGCCACGUUGGGACUGAGAUACGGCCCAGACUCCUACGGGAGGCAGCAGUGGGGAAUAUUGCACAAUGGGCGGAAGCCUGAUGCAGCAACGCCGCGUGCGGGAUGACGGCCUUCGGGUUGUAAACCGAUUUCGCCUGUGACGAAGCGUGAGUGACGGUAAUGGGUAAAGAAGCACCGGCUAACUACGUGC